GAUGAACGCUGGCGGCGUGCCUAAUACAUGCAAGUCGAGCGAACAGACGAGGAGCUUGCUCCUCUGACGUUAGCGGCGGACGGGUGAGUAACACGUGGAUAACCUACCUAUAAGACUGGGAUAACUUCGGGAAACCGGAGCUAAUACCGGAUAAUAUAUUGAACCGCAUGGUUCAAUAGUGAAAGACGGUUUUGCUGUCACUUAUAGAUGGAUCCGCGCCGCAUUAGCUAGUUGGUAAGGUAACGGCUUACCAAGGCAACGAUGCGUAGCCGACCUGAGAGGGUGAUCGGCCACACUGGAACUGAGACACGGUCCAGACUCCUACGGGAGGCAGCAGUAGGGAAUCUUCCGCAAUGGGCGAAAGCCUGACGGAGCAACGCCGCGUGAGUGAUGAAGGUCUUCGGAUCGUAAAACUCUGUUAUUAGAGAAGAACAAAUGUGUAAGUAACUAUGCACGUCUUGACGGUACCUAAUCAGAAAGCCACGGCUAACUACGU
rnacentral:rRNA from 1 species